rnacentral:lncRNA from 1 species
CCCCCAACACAAGGAGAGCCCCGACUUGGGAGGAGGGCUUUUCAGAUCGCAGCUUGGCCUGAGGCAGAGCCAGAGCGAUGAGGUCACCCAGCACAGCUGCUAACUAUUUCAAGGAAACAGAACCGUGGUCUCAGCCCUGGCUGCAUAUUCCUUCAACGGGAGGGCUUUAGAAAUGCUGUGCCAGAGCUGCACCCCAGACCAACAAAAUCAGACUCUCCAGGAUGCGGCCAAGGCAUCAGUAUGUGGAAAGCUUUCACUAGGAAAACUGAGCAAAAUGAAAGCCAAUUCAAAGAAGAAGGAAUUAAGUACAUAAUUGUGCAGAUGAUACAUGGAAAUGGUAAGAAUGGUGACAAUGGGACGUAAGUGACUGAAAUUUGGGAUACAUUGGAUUAGAAGAAAAUAAGCCCCCAAGAAACCGGAAUAAGUCUGGAGGGCAGCAAGAGUGACUGUCCAGCUAAGAACCUCAUCAGCAAUACAAAACAUUGUCACAGAUGUUGAAACAGACCCUGAGGUUAAUGCAUUCUUUCCAACAUUAGGUCCUAAAACUUCUCCUGAAAAGCUACCUUAAAUCUAACUUUUGAAAGUGCACAAUAAAGGU